rnacentral:sRNA from 1 species
UUAAUACUCGUUUAUUUCUGUUCGGUUAAAACUGAUGCUCUGAGUCCGAUUAUUGUCCAUCGGCUGUUUUGGAAUGCGAGUAUUUACAUUGCUACUUCCUGUGUCGUUAUUUUCGUUUGUGCUAUUCCCUGCUUUUGCUGCUAUUGAUAACUGGAAACUGUCUCUGUCAUUGAAUCUCAGACAAGUUUUCUGCUAUUGGAAACUG